rnacentral:snoRNA from 1 species
AAGACUGUACUUUAUAGAAUCAUUUCUGUAAGAGUUAGUUCAUUGAAAACUGAUGUGAUCACAAUGAGGGGCAACAGUCUUCUUUUUUUAGCGUGAGGACGACACGAGUUCCCCAGGUAUUUUCGUGAUCCGUUCGUUCAUUACAUUUAUUAGUGUAUCGAUAAUGAGAAGAAAAGUUUUCCGAGUGAC